rnacentral:rRNA from 1 species
AAGUCAUAACAAGGUUUCCGUAGGUGAACCUGCGGAAGGAUCAUUAAUGAUGCCCUCGAAGUCUUUGGACUGGUAGGGUUUGUGUCGGUCUCUUCGGAGUCGACCUUAUCUCACACACCGUGAACUGUGGCUUCGGCCAUUUACACAAACUGUUAGUAAUGAAUGUAAUAUCAUAACAAACAUAAAACUUUUAACAACGGAUCUCUUGGCUCUCGCAUCGAUGAAGAACGCAGCGAAACGCGAUAAGUAAUGUGAAUUGCAGAAUUCAGUGAAUCAUCGAAUCUUUGAACGCACCUUGCGCCCUUUGGUAUUCCGAAGGGCAUGCCUGUUUGAGUGUCAUGAAACCUCACCCCACUUGGGUUUUUGCCCGAGCGGUGGUGGAUUGGGCGUCUGCCGUUAAUGGCUCGCCUGAAAAGCAUAAGCAACUUUGGAUGUAAUACGUUUCAUCCUUUCGAGUGGCUGACAGCCCAACAUAUCUCAUGAUCUGGCCUCAAAUCAGGUAGGGCUACCCGCUGAACUUAA